rnacentral:rRNA from 1 species
CCUACGGGAGGCAGCAGUGGGGAAUAUUGCACAAUGGGGGAAACCCUGAUGCAGCCAUGCCGCGUGUGUGAAGAAGGCCUUCGGGUUGUAAAGCACUUUCAGCGAGGAGGCGUUACUCGCAGAAGAAGCACCGGCUAACUCCGUGCCAGCAGCCGCGGUAAUACGGAGGGUGCAAGCGUUAAUCGGAAUUACUGGGCGUAAAGCGCACGCAGGCGGUUGGAUAAGUUAGAUGUGAAAGCCCCGGGCUCAACCUGGGAAUUGCAUUUAAAACUGUCCAGCUAGAGUCUUGUAGAGGGGGGUAGAAUUCCAGGUGUAGCGGUGAAAUGCGUAGAGAUCUGGAGGAAUACCGGUGGCGAAGGCGGCCCCCUGGACAAGCUGACGCUCAGGUGCGAAAGCGUGGGGAGCAAACAGGAUUAGAUACCCUUGUAGUC